GUGGGGAAUUUUGCGCAAUGGGGGAAACCCUGACGCAGCAACGCCGCGUGAGUGAUGAAGGCCUUCGGGUCGUAAAGCUCUGUCAGAGGGAAAGAAAUGCGGGAGGGUUAAUACCCCUUUUGCUUGACGGUACCCUCAAAGGAAGCACCGGCUAACUCCGUGCCAGCAGCCGCGGUAAUACGGAGGGUGCGAGCGUUGUUCGGAAUUAUUGGGCGUAAAGCGCGUGUAGGCGGUCUUUUAAGUCUGAUGUGAAAGCCCCGGGCUCAACCUGGGAAGUGCAUUGGAAACUGGGAGACUUGAAUACGGGAGAGGGUAGUGGAAUUCCUAGUGUAGGAGUGAAAUCCGUAGAUAUUAGGAGGAACACCGGUGGCGAAGGCGGCUACCUGGACCGAUAUUGACGCUGAGACGCGAAAGCGUGGGGAGCAAACAGGAUUAGAAACCCUUGUAGUCC
rnacentral:rRNA from 1 species